GGGCGGAUGUGCAAUCUUCACCUGUUUAUUCGGUAGAGGGUGCCAUCUUCAGGUAGCCCUUCACGUUGUACAGAAAACAAUGGAGACUUCUCCUCCUGGGGCAGACAGAGUCUGGCUGGAGUGCAAUGACACGAUCUCAGCUCACUGCAAUCUCUGCCUCCUGGGUUCAAGUGAUUCUCCUGCCUCAGCCUCCCGAGUAGCUGGGACUACGGGUCUAUGUCCUUUCAUGUUCUCCAGUUUAAUCUUGCCUACAACUUUACUCCAGGCUCUAUGCUCCAGCCAUAAUCAAUUUAUGGGAAAACCAUCCUCUCUGGCAAACUUCUACCUAUCCUUCAAGAAGCAAUUCAACUAUCAUUCCUCUGUGAAGCCUAAGCAGUUAAUUACCCUUCCUCUAUAUGCCUAAAUCAUUUUGUUCACUCUUGGGGUAGUGCUGAUUGCACUGUGAACUUGCGAGGCAGGACACACUGUCUUAUUUACGUUUGUUGAGUUUCCUAACAGAGAAUAGAUACUCAAUAUAUGAAUGAAUAAUCUUGUUU
rnacentral:antisense_RNA from 1 species